rnacentral:rRNA from 1 species
AGGAGAGUUUGGUCAUGGCUCAGAUUGAACGCUGGCGGCAGGCCUAACACAUGCAAGUCGAACGGUAACAUUUCUAGCUUGCUAGAAGAUGACGAGUGGCGGACGGGUGAGUAAUGCUUGGGAACUUGCCUUUGCGAGGGGGAUAACAGUUGGAAACGACUGCUAAUACCGCAUAAUGUCUUCGGACCAAACGGGGCUUAGGCUCCGGCGCAAAGAGAGGCCCAAGUGAGAUUAGCUAGUUGGUAAGGUAACGGCUUACCAAGGCGACGAUCUCUAGCUGUUCUGAGAGGAAGAUCAGCCACACUGGGACUGAGACACGGCCCAGACUCCUACGGGAGGCAGCAGUGGGGAAUAUUGCACAAUGGGGGAAACCCUGAUGCAGCCAUGCCGCGUGUGUGAAGAAGGCCUUCGGGUUGUAAAGCACUUUCAGUUGUGAGGAAAAGUUAGUAGUUAAUACCUGCUAGCCGUGACGUUAACAACAGAAGAAGCACCGGCUAACUCCGUGCCAGCAGCCGCGGUAAUACGGAGGGUGCGAGCGUUAAUCGGAAUUACUGGGCGUAAAGCGCACGCAGGCGGUUUGUUAAGCUAGAUGUGAAAGCCCCGGGCUCAACCUGGGAUGGUCAUUUAGAACU